GCAUAUCAAUAAGCGGAGGAAAAGAAACCAACAGGGAUUGCCCUAGUAACGGCGAGUGAAGCGGCAACAGCUCAAAUUUGAAAUCUGGCUCUCUUUGGGGGUCCGAGUUGUAAUUUGCAGAGGAUGCUUUGGCAUUGGCGGCGUUCUAAGUUCCUUGGAACAGGACAUCACAGAGGGUGAGAAUCCCGUACGUGGUCGCCUGCCUUUGCCGUGUAAAGCUCCUUCGACGAGUCGAGUUGUUUGGGAAUGCAGCUCUAAAUGGGAGGUAAAUUUCUUCUAAAGCUAAAUACCGGCCAGAGACCGAUAGCGCACAAGUAGAGUGAUCGAAAGAUGAAAAGUACUUUGGAAAGAGAGUCAAAAAGCACGUGAAAUUGUUGAAAGGGAAGCGCUUGCAGCCAGACUUGCCCGCAGUUGCUCACCUAGGCUUUGGCCUGGGGCACUCUUCUGCGGGCAGGCCAGCAUCAGUUUGGGCGGUUGGAUAAAGGCCUCUGUCACGUAUCUCCCUCCGGGGUGACCUUAUAGGGGAGGCGUAAUGCAACCAGCCCGGACUGAGGUCCGCGCAUCUGCUAGGAUGCUGGCGUAAUGGCUGUAAGCGGCCCGUCUUGAAACACGGACCAAGGAGUCUAACAUCUAUGCGAGUGUUUGGGUGUCAAGCCCGGGCGCGCAAUGAAAGUGAACGGAGGUGGGAACCCUUUGGGUGCACCAUCGACCGAUCCUGAUGUCUUCGGAUGGAUUUGAGUAAGAGCAUAGCUGUUGGGACCCGAAAGAUGGUGAACUAUGCUUGAAUAGGGUGAAGCCAGAGGAAACUCUGGUGGAGGCUCGCAGCGGUUCUGACGUGCAAAUCGAUCGUCAAAUUUGGGCAUAGGGGCGAAAGACUAAUCGAACCAUCUAGUAGCUGGUUCCUGCCGA
rnacentral:rRNA from 1 species